rnacentral:misc_RNA from 1 species
UCAAAACAGCGGCCUUCGGGCCUCGCUGCACCCUUGUCUUUUGCGCACCGUAUUGUUUCCUCGGCGGGCUUGCCUGCCGGUUGGACAUCAUAAAACCUUUUUUGUAGUUGCAAUCAGCGUCAGAAAAACAAUAAUUAUUA